UGACGUGUGUGGGGGAUUUUAUUUUAGGUGCUUACUCUAGUUUUUCUUAGACAAUGUUCCACAAAUAGAAAAAUGAGGAACUCUUUCAGAUUAUCUGUAUAUCAAUACGCCUGAAUUAUUCUGGCUAAAGUGACAGAAAAACCCAGCAGUCUGGCUUCCCUGACUGGUAGAACGCCGCCGUCUGAGGGUGGGGUGGACACAGGACAUGACUGGAUACAG